rnacentral:lncRNA from 1 species
CGAUAUUUGACUCGAUUUUUAAAUUGUUUUCGAGAUAUUUUUUCUAAAUUCGGUUAUUGGUUCAAAGAUGUGCACAACAAAAUUCAAACCUCGCUGUCCUCGCAAAAUAUGAGCAAAGCCAAAGAAGAUAUUUGAAUCAGCGAGCUAUAAACAGGUAUUUGACCGUAUUUCAUUCAAUUUUAUUUAUGCUCUAUCUUAUCUCACAUAAAAUUGGUAGGCUUAACUUAAGCUUGACGAUGAAAUGCACUUAUUUUGUUAAGAAAACAGCCUUUUGCUGGUUUUUUGGUGUAAUUUGGCAUCUGUAUAUUUCAAAAUUUGGUUGCAGAAACUACAACUUUUUGUUAUUUAUAAAUUACUUUAGAAAAUGCUAUUAACUCCAGACGUUCCUUCAAAGCAAACGGUAUGUCACAUAUGUGUUUAAAUAAAUUCAGGUUUUGUGUAAUAUGUGCCAAGUUUGCAUACAAGGCUAAUCAAUGUCAAUGACAAGACUUUUUGAGUACUCAAAUAUUUCCCAAAAUACCUGUAUAUAACUUAUAUAUACCCCCUUCCCCCAAGAAAAUGUUGCUGUGUGAUGAAAAGAUAUUAUAUUAGCCAUUUACAACAUGUUGGGAGCUGCAGUGCACCCUGCUUAUUUUUUUACUAUUGUCUAACGCCAGACGAUUUUACUCAUCAAUGGGGAAGCUCUGCAGCUUAAAGGGUUUAACAAUUUGGAACACCAGGCUGUCCAGGCAUACUGGAUGGCAAUCUGGCAAUUACUUCGUAACUACUGUAUGUUGCUUCCCUUGCACUGGGAAGGUACCUUGUAUCCUGGCCACUUUUGAUUAUUAUACUAUUAACCCAUUAAGCUGCAGAGCUUCCCCAGUAAAUCAUCCGGCGUUAAACAAGUUAAAAAAAUAAGUAGGGUGCACUGCAGCUCAAUGUGUUAACUAGAGGCAUUGUCAGAUUUUUUGGUUAACCCAUUAAGCUGCAGAGCUUCCCCAAUUGACAAGUAAAAUCAUCUGGUAUCAGACAAGUAAAAAAAAGUAGGGCACGCUGGGGCGCAUUGCGGCUCAAUGGGUUAAGCCUGAUAAUUGCACCAAUGGUUCUGGUGUCUCUGAGUCGCAUUGUUUUCCCAUCAUCAUUUUUGUGCUCAAAGUUACAACAUGUAAUAUAUUUUUGUUUAUUCCAGAAUUAUCUCACAAUUGGGAUAUCAUAAUCUGCAUUUGUCCCGACUCACUCUGGUUUCCCAGUUAACCCAUAGAGUGGCUCUCCCAUUGACAAGUAAAAGUAGGGCAGGCAAAAUUACAAGCAAGAUGUAUGGAAAUUGAAGACACAAAAGCUGGAUUAAUUUUGAACUAUUUUAAUUGGACUUUUCAAUACAGUAAAAUUAUUAACAGUGAAUAAUUUUAAAUUAACACUAAAAUUAUUGUAAUUAAGUAUACAUGAUGUAAUGGAGUAUGUGUUAACGUAAUUCAGGGGUGGAUUAAUAGGGAGGGUGCACACCCCUGUUGGCCUUGGUCAAGAGGGGUGCAAUAGAAUCAAAUUCAGAAACAUGGCAUAAUUUCCAAGGUUUUCCCUUUUCUGAAGUCAAACUGAAGCUCAUAAUUCAAUGUCCAUAUCACAGGAAAUAGCAUCUAAUUUUCAAAAUUUUCUGGGGGCAUAUCCCUCAACCCCCUAGGGAGCUUGCGCCUUUAGUGCUUGAGUCGUUUCACCCCCACCACCCCCUAAAAAAUUAUAAAGAAACACUUGGCUGCUCACCCAGCACCCCCUAGAAAAACCUUGCUGGAUCCACCCCUGAAGGCUUUCAAGUAAUACUGUAAUUAUAGCAGGCAGUGCAGUACUUAUCAUAUCAUGCAAAUAAUUAUCAUAUUUAAUUGCACAGAUCCCAUAUGUAUAAACAAACACGAGCAUGCAAUGCAUUGUAGUUGACAAUGAUUCUUUAAUUAACUUAAUAAUAAAGGUUUAUACUUUUAUAAGUUAAUUAUCAUCACCAUCAUAGACAUAUUUUCAAAUUUUGCUUGGGGAGUGUGGGUGUGCAGAAAAGUGAGCAAGGAGCACGUAGUGUGCUGAGUAAGAUGCAGCAGAGUCUGAGGGUACAGUCACUAGUGGGGACACAGUUGGGGUAAGGUUGGGGGCAACGACCCCAGGAUAUUUCAAGAAUAUUGGCCUUGUUUUUUAGCCUUAUUUAGUUCAAAAUUCUUGUUCAAUUAUACUGCUGUCAUUUAAUCAAACCAGCAUUUAAAUUUCUGUGGUGGAAAAACUUUCUGAGGUGGUGAAGAUAUUAUUGGGGGUGCACCCCCCCCCAGAAAAUCCAUCAAUGAUUGCCAUCUGCAUUUUAAUGCCUUGUACAUCCCAUGUUUUGUGAUAUCUAUAGCCAAUAAUUCCUGCAAGAUAAAAGACAAUCAUAUUACACCA